rnacentral:rRNA from 1 species
CCUACGGGUGGCAGCAGUAGGGAAUAUUGCUCAAUGGGGGAAACCCUGAAGCAGCAACGCCGCGUGGAGGAUGAAGGUCUUCGGAUUGUAAACUUCUUUUGUUAGAGAAGAUAAUGACGGUAUCUAACGAAUAAGCACGGGCUAACACCGUUCCAGCAGCCGCGGUUAUACGGAGGGUGCAAGCGUUAUACGGAAUCACUGGGCGUAAAGAGCGCGUAGGCGGGUUAGAAAGUCAGAUGUGAAAUUCUAUGGCUUAACCAUAGAACUGCAUGUGAAACUGUUAUUCUAGAGUAUGGGAGAGGUAGGUGGAAUUCUUGGUGUAGGGGUGAAAUCCGUAGAUAUCAAGAAGAAUUCUCAUUGCGAAGGCAACCUUCUAGAACGUAACUGACGCUGAUGCGCGAAAGCGUGGGGAGCAAACAGGAUUAGAUACCCUAGUAGUC